rnacentral:lncRNA from 1 species
GCUCAAAGUCACUCUAAUGGCGACACGAGCACCAGCGCGCGCUUAGACCUGUUACACACUAAUACACACACAUACACACAAUAAUACACACCGGACUGAGGAGCCUCGCGGAGAGCGCGCGGACUACCGCUGGAGGAUCUACAGUCAACAGACACACCCACACACAGUAUGAACAUACAGAAGAGCCAAUCGGAGACUGGCCUGACGCCCCCAUGGAUUGCCAGACUGGCUGGAGGUGGACAGAGCCCCGCCUCCUCAGGGGCGGAGUCAGACACUGAGGGCAGUAGCACUGAGAGCGAAUGGUCUCACAGCCGACGCAUCCUGACCACACCCACUGCAGUACAACAGCGAAUCACAGAGCUGGACCAGCAGAGGGCGGAGCUCAAAUUAGAGGUGAGAGCAGCAGGAGGGUGUGGGUUUAUUGUGUUUUUUUGUGAGUUUAUUGUGUUACUGUGUUUGGGGGUGACCUAUCCACAUUAAUCUCAGUGUUUUAUAUUAAAUGAAGCGCAGAGAGACACAGGAAGCGAAUAAAUUUAAAAAUAUUUUUUUUUUGGUAAAAUGA